GUAAAUAGGACACUGCCAAACUUUCCCCAAUGUACAGUUCCUGUCUGAAAACAAAGACCGUCACUUUCUACGCAGACUAACUCCGUCCACUUCUCCAUCCAGAGCGGCGGGCGUCCUCUUCAAAGACCACCGCCCACGUUCCUGUCUCAAGCCUCGUCUCUGCCAGAAGUCUCUCGCUCGCGCUGCCACACCUAACGUGCCGUGCAAUUUUCUGUUUUUCUCUCUCACCCGAAUGCUCAUUCCGUCCACGAUGUUAUUGUUCUGUGCAACGGCAGACUGGCUUUGCCGUGCUUGCAUAUGUCUCUGUGUCAUUCUCAUCCGAUACUCGAACUUUUUCGUUUGCUUGCUUAUUGUUUUGCCAAAGGAGCUCCCGUGUGCGACUGGCUCAACGCUCGUAGUCUAAUUUAUUACGUCUUAGAGAUGGACUCGUUGCGACGUGCUAUAUACGACUCACGUUAGGCACGCAUUCCUGAAGCCACCGGAAUCGCAUUGUUGCAGAAGCAACGACACUUUCAGGGACACGUUUCCUUUCCAUACUCACUUUCAUGUCGUCGCAGGCGAUUUCUUUAUUCUCGCAGUCCUGUGGAGCUCUUUUUUGCCACUACGCUUCUGUUUUUAGUAAUUGUCAUACAGCUGCAACAUGUGUUUGAAAAAAAAGUGAAAAAAAAAAAGCCGCAGUGCGCAUUAUUUAUUGGUGUUUUUUUGCCUUUUACGUUCGCAUAUAUUGUGUGUGUGCAAGUGUUCGAACUGCGUGUUGUUUGUUGUUGUUUUGUAAUUUUCUGUGGCAAUUAAAAUAAACAUGUAGUGAGUGUGGUGAA